rnacentral:rRNA from 1 species
UACGUAGGGGGCAAGCGUUAUCCGGAUUUACUGGGUGUAAAGGGAGCGUAGACGGCAGCGCAAGUCUGAAGUGAAAUCCCAUGGCUUAACCAUGGAACUGCUUUGGAAACUGAGCAGCUGGAGUGCAGGAGAGGUAAGCGGAAUUCCUAGUGUAGCGGUGAAAUGCGUAGAUAUUAGGAGGAACACCAGUGGCGAAGGCGGCUUACUGGACUGUAACUGACGUUGAGGCUCGAAAGCGUGGGGAGCAA